rnacentral:rRNA from 1 species
UACAGAGGUCCCGAGCGUUUGUUCGGAUUCAUUGGGCGUAAAGGGUGCGUAGGCGGCGGGGAAAGUCUGAUGUGAAAUCCCUGGGGCUCAACCCUGGAACUGCAUUGGAUACUUCCUUGCUAGAGUACUGGAGAGGAAACUGGAAUUUACGGUGUAGCAGUGAAAUGCGUAGAGAGUCGUAAGGAAGACCAGUGGCGAAGGCGAGUUUCUGGACAGUUACUGACGGCUGGAGGCACGAAGGCCAGGGGAGCAAACGGG